UACGAAGGAUGCAAGCGUUAUCCGGAUUUAUUGGGUUUAAAGGGAGCGUAGGCGGCCUUAUAAGUCAGUGGUGAAAUCUCGUUGCUUAACAACGAACGUGCCAUUGAUACUGUAGGGCUUGAGUACAGAUGCCGUUGGCGGAAUGUGUCAUGUAGCGGUGAAAUGCAUAGAUAUGACACAGAACACCGAUUGCGAAGGCAGCUGACGAAACUGUAACUGACGCUGAGGCUCGAAAGCGUGGGGAUCAAACAGG
rnacentral:rRNA from 1 species